rnacentral:rRNA from 2 species
CUGAUUAGAAGCUUGCUUCUAUGACGUUAGCGGCGGACGGGUGAGUAACACGUGGGCAACCUGCCUGUAAGACUGGGAUAACUUCGGGAAACCGAAGCUAAUACCGGAUAGGAUCUUCUCCUUCAUGGGAGAUGAUUGAAAGAUGGUUUCGGCUAUCACUUACAGAUGGGCCCGCGGUGCAUUAGCUAGUUGGUGAGGUAACGGCUCACCAAGGCAACGAUGCAUAGCCGACCUGAGAGGGUGAUCGGCCACACUGGGACUGAGACACGGCCCAGACUCCUACGGGAGGCAGCAGUAGGGAAUCUUCCGCAAUGGACGAAAGUCUGACGGAGCAACGCCGCGUGAGUGAUGAAGGCUUUCGGGUCGUAAAACUCUGUUGUUAGGGAAGAACAAGUACGAGAGUAACUGCUCGUACCUUGACGGUACCUAACCAGAAAGCCACGGCUAACUACGUGCCAGCAGCCGCGGUAAUACGUAGGUGGCAAGCGUUAUCCGGAAUUAUUGGGCGUAAAGCGCGCGCAGGCGGUUUCUUAAGUCUGAUGUGAAAGCCCACGGCUCAACCGUGGAGGGUCAUUGGAAACUGGGGAACUUGAGUGCAGAAGAGAAAAGCGGAAUUCCACGUGUAGCGGUGAAAUGCGUAGAGAUGUGGAGGAACACCAGUGGCGAAGGCGGCUUUUUGGUCUGUAACUGACGCUGAGGCGCGAAAGCGUGGGGAGCAAACAGGAUUAGAUAC